rnacentral:rRNA from 1 species
AACGUAGGAGACAAACGUUAUCCGGAGUUACUGGGCGUAAAGGGCGUGUAGGUGGUGCUGUAAGUCUGGCGUGAAAUUUUUCGGCUUAACCGGGAAAGGUCGUCGGAUACUGCAGGACUAGAGGACGGUAGAGGCGUGUGGAAUUCCGGGUGUAGUGGUGAGAUGCGUAGAGAUCCGGAGGAACACCAGUGGCGAAGGCGACACGCUGGGCCGUACCUGACACUGAGGCGCGAUAGCAUGGGGAGCAAACAGG